UUUGUUGCCAGCCGGACGGUCGGUAAAGUAGCUUAUUUUUCGUGUGUUCGUAAAUCUCGUAAGUCAAACGACGUGGAACUUAUAUAUCUCUUUUCUGCUUCGAGUUUUACAAAAGGAUAUAGAAAAUGAUUGAACGAGGAAUCAAUAGUAUCAAGUAUGACAUAUCAUAUUCCAAGAAAGACAUUAUUAUUUGUCAGGAUGAACGUUUAUACGAUUCUCCGCGCCAUCUGUGGAGCUUACGGAGAAACAAAAUUACUGAAGAUACGAGAAGGCGCGAAAAUAUUCAAAAAAGAAUAUUUGAAAUAACGUUCUGAUAAAAUAUUUUAAACAUUUCUAUAACAUUCGCAUGGAUAUUUUCGAUAAAAGAUAUUUAUAUUAAAAAGAUUGAAAGUCGUAUGAGCUUAUAAGAAAAACAGUUUUACGAAGGUAAUUACGAAAGAACGAGACGAUAAAAGUGCGUAGAUCAUUCUUCGUCCUUGUAUGGUUUACAAGACUCGAUGAGUUUCAAACUUGCAAGAGUAUAUAUAUAUAUAUAUAUAUAUAUAUAUAUAUAUAUAUAUAUAUAUAUGGCGUCCAUUUACUUCCACAGCAAGUCCAUAUAUGGAUAACGGUUUUAAAACCACCCAAAGACAUUCCUUAUUUUACUUACUUUCGUAUACAUAUAUUUAUAUAUGUAUACAAUAUAUUCUGGUUGAUACGUGUUAAUAGGUCAUUCUUCCUUUAAUGAUUCUCACAUAGUAUAAAACAACAUAUAGUGUCACAGAUGUUUUUUUAUUAAAUCUGUGGUAAAAUGUAGAAAUAAAAAAAUUCAAAGAAAAGAAAAGAAAUGUUACAUGUAUAACACUUCCUUUAAGAAUUAAUUGUUUGUAUUUCAAUUGUCUCAAAAGUAGAGAGACCAAGAUAUGGAUUAUUAAAAUAGAUAAGACAUACACACUUUUUUAUGAAUAAAAAUCAUUAUUUUCUUUUA